AAUAAUCAUAAAAAGUGUUAACUAUUAAAGUCAAUUAAAUAAUACUUGUGUUCCUUUUAUUAUGAUAAUCCUCACAAUAACAUUGAUUACA